CUAAAGUCAAUGCUUUGUAGAGCCACCUUUUGUGGAAAUCACAGCUCCAAGUUGCUUUGGAUAAGUCUCUAUGAGCUUGCCACAUUUUACCACUGGGAUUUUUGCCCAUUCCUCGUUGCAAAACUGCUCCAGCUCUUUCAAGUUGGAUGGCUUGCGCUUGUGAACAGCAGUCUUUAAGUCUGACCACAAAUUUUCUAUUGGUCUGGGCUUUGACUAGGCCAUUCCAACACAUUUAUAUGUUUCCCCUUAAAC